UGGGGAAUUUUGGACAAUGGGCGAAAGCCUGAUCCAGCAAUGCCGCGUGUGUGAAGAAGGCCUUCGGGUUGUAAAGCACUUUUGUCCGGAAAGAAAUCCUUGGCUCUAAUACAGUCGGGGGAUGACGGUACCGGAAGAAUAAGCACCGGCUAACUACGUGCCAGCAGCCGCGGUAAUACGUAGGGUGCAAGCGUUAAUCGGAAUUACUGGGCGUAAAGCGUGCGCAGGCGGUUUGCUAAGACCGAUGUGAAAUCCCCGGGCUCAACCUGGGGACUGCAUUGGUGACUGGCAGGCUAGAGUAUGGCAGAGGGGGGUAGAAUUCCACGUGUAGCAGUGAAAUGCGUAGAGAUGUGGAGGAAUACCGAUGGCGAAGGCAGCCCCCUGGGCCAAGUACUGACGCUCAUGCACGAAAGCGUGGGGGAGCAAAACAGGAUUAGAUACCCUGGUAGUCCACGCCCUAAACGAUGUCAACCAGUUGUUGGGGAUUCAUUUCCUUAGUAACGUAGCUAACGCGUGAAGUUGACCGCCUGGGGAGUACGGUCGCAAGAUUAAAACUCAAAGGAAUUGAC
rnacentral:rRNA from 1 species